rnacentral:rRNA from 1 species
ACCUGCGGAGGGAUCAUUACAAGUGACCCCGGUUUUACCACCGGGAUGUUCAUAACCCUUUGUUGUCUGACUCUGUUGCCUCCGGGGCGACCCUGCCUUCGGGCGGGGGCUCCGGGUGGACACUUCAAACUCUUGCGUAACUUUGCAGUCUGAGUAAAUUAAUUAAUAAAUUAAAACUUUUAACAACGGAUCUCUUGGUUCUGGCAUCGAUGAAGAACGCAGCGAAAUGCGAUAAGUAAUGUGAAUUGCAGAAUUCAGUGAAUCAUCGAAUCUUUGAACGCACAUUGCGCCCCCUGGUAUUCCGGGGGGCAUGCCUGUUCGAGCGUCAUUUCACCACUCAAGCCUCGCUUGGUAUUGGGCAACGCGGUCCGCCGCGUGCCUCAAAUCGACCGGCUGGGUCUUCUGUCCCCUAAGCGUUGUGGAAACUAUUCGCUAAAGGGUGUUCGGGAGGCUACGCCGUAAAACAACCCCAUUUCUAAGGUUGACCUCGGAUCAGGUAGGGAUACCCGCUGAACUUAAG